rnacentral:rRNA from 1 species
GAUGAACGCUAGCGAUAGGCUUAACACAUGCAAGUCGAGGGGUAACGUGUUGGAAGCUUGCUUCCGAUGACGACGACCGGCGGAUGGGUGCGUAACGCGUAUGCAACUUGCCUCACAGAGGAGAAUAACCCGGAGAAAUCCGGACUAAUGCUCCAUACACUCUUUAGCACGCCUGUGCGUAAGAGGAAAGAUUUAUCGCUGUGAGAUAGGCAUGCGUCCUAUUAGGUAGUUGGUGAGGUAACGGCUCACCAAGCCAACGAUAGGUAGGGGUGCUGAGAGGCAGAUCCCCCACAUUGGGACUGAGACACGGCCCAAACUCCUACGGGAGGCAGCAGUGAGGAAUAUUGGUCAAUGGGCGAGAGCCUGAACCAGCCAAGUAGCGUGCAGGAUGACGGCCCUAUGGGUUGUAAACUGCUUUUAUGUGGGGAUAAAGUGCGUGACGUGUCAUGCAUUGCAGGUACCACAUGAAUAAGGACCGGCUAAUUCCGUGCCAGCCGCCGCGGUAAAAGGG